rnacentral:lncRNA from 1 species
GUAAACUAAGAACGUAUGAUUAACAACAUUAAUUUUUUCUUAAGUCACUCGCAGCUGAACUGGAGAGGAGUCGACGGAAAGACUGGAGCUGAAAGAUGUCAUUUCUCGUAAGUGUUAUUGCACUGACAGAGUUUAAGUCCUUUGUCUUGGUGUAACUGAUCCAUUGUGAAUGAAUGCAGAUGAGGAACUAAUACUCUUUUAUAACUGAACUUGAAACUUUAUAUAGACAUAUGUUUUGGUAAAAGUCAGUCUUACAAUUUUUGUAUUUUAUUUUUAUUUUUAGGAACCGUCAGAAACAACAUGCUGACUGAGGCAGACACUGAUCGAGAAAUUAAGACUUUUAUCAGAAGAUGGCUCCAUUUGGCUGGAGACAGAGAUGGAGGCAGACGAAGAAGAGAAGAAAGACGGCAGCCUGUCCAACAUUCCUGUCUGGAAGACACUGUUUCUGUGGGCCCAGUUGAGACCUGGAUCAAGAUGGAGAGUACGCCGGUGCUGAGGGAAGCCUGUUGCUAUAAAGAUGUCCCAUUUUAUUUCAUUUUGUUUUUUUAAUAAAGAAUUUCUUACUAAACUUUUGAUUUUUUUUUUCUUUAUCAAAUUCUUAAACGA